UAAAAAUUUGACCGACAGCUUAGUAAGGAUUAUAUAGUUAUGUCUGCUACUGUUUAAAAAGGCUUUUCUUUUUUUUUUUUCUUUGACAUAGAGUCUUACUCUGUUGCCCAGACUAGAGUGCAGUGGCACGAUCUUGGCUCACUGCAACCUCCACCUCCUGGGUUCAAGCAAUUCUCAUGCCUCAGCCUCCCAAGUAGCUGGGAUUACAGAUGUGUGCCACCACACAUGGCUAAUUUUUUUAUUUUUAGUAGAGAUGGGGUUUCACCAUGUUGGCCAGGCUGGUCUCGAACUCCUGGGCUCAAGUGAUCUGACUGCCUCAGCCUCCCAAAGUGGUGCUAUUACAGGUGUGAGCCACCUCGCCUGACCUAAAAACACUUUUCAGCUCCAAUUUUAAACUUAAAAUUUUUCUUAUUUUAAAAACAACAUAUGCAUGUAUUAUCAAAUACAGGAAAAUAUGAAGAGACAGAAGUACUUACUGAUCAUAAUCCUACCACCAGAGACAUCACUAUGAAUAUGUUUGUACAUUUUUUUCCUGUGCAUUCUAAAACAUAGUUAAGAUUAUGCUAAAUAUACAGUUCUCAUGCUCUUUUAUGUCAGAAGUGUUUUCCCAUGACAUUUUAAACCCCAUAGACAUAAUUUUCUAAUGGCUACAUACUAUUCUAUCUAACCAUUUCCAGAGGUUGGAUAUUUAUCCAGCUUCUGAGACUUCCUGUUAUAAACAACACUUUGAUGAACAUCUUGGUACAUAAAUCUUUUGCAUGUGACUACUUCCUUAGGACAGAUUCCUAGAAGUGAAAUUCUGGGUCAAAGAGUAGUAAUAUUUUAAAGGCUGUUUAUGCAUACUGACAAGCUGCUUCCUGGCAAUUUGUCCAAACUUUUACUCUGACUAGCAUUGUAUGGGAGCUUCCCUGAGUGAAUGCUGCCUUUGAAGUGGGGUCAGAGACUGAGGACCAAGGGGCACAGAGAAAGAAGAGUGUGGUCCUCGAUGGGAGGACCCAUCACAAACCGUCUUGCACAGUGUAAACCCAGGAGAGGGGCUGAAGAAACCACUGCAGCCCGGGGCCGCCCAUUCUACCUGGCCCAUGGUAGGCACUCAAGAAAUGGUUUGCUACGUGAAUAAACAAAUCCACAAACAUAUAUUUCUGAAUUCCUAUCAUGCGUCAAACACAAGAGAUAGGGAGAGAGGAGGAAAAGAAAAGCAAGGGAUCAUGGGAUAAAAGGGGACAGUGGCAGUGGGGUGGACAGAAGUCAGAACUAAAUUUACCUCAUGCUUUAAUUCGGCGAGUUUUCUUAGAAUAGUCUGACCAUUGCUUACGUUGAGGGUCUAUAGUCCUCCCUUCCCCACAAGACAAAGUCCAACCUAAUUCAGCACCAAGAUCCAAGCAGCUCGGAAGAUACAGGAGGGAAAAAUCUGGUGUAGAUUAAGUGCCACCCCCCAGCAAUGGCCAGGACACAGCAGCAAUGUUACCUAAGAAAGCAACUGCGCCUCUUGCUGAUCAGCUAGACAUGAGGGCAGUGUCCUACCUCAGCGGUUUGCAGCGGACAUGCUGUCAGGCCAUUGGGAUAGUUCCCAUAAGCCACUCCUGGUUGUCACCACUAUUCCAAGUGGGCAGGAGCAGCCUUAUUGACUGAGAUGGGCGGCUAUGGACACACAUGGGUGUACGCAUGUGAUGGAAAUGGGGGCUUGGGGCCCUGAGGGUCCACAGGGGCUGCGUGGUCAGGGAGGGUGGGCAUGGCAUCACAGGCACCCCAGGGGAGAAGCUGGCUUUCUUCCCAUACUUUUGGCACUGUUUUCUGUUUUGUUUGCCUUCAAAGAGCAAGUGAUGGCUGGACAGCAAAGAGGAGUGGAGGCCGGGAGAAUGGGCAGCUAGCCCAGCGCUCUCCAAUAUCUGGGAGUCGACCGCACUCCUGCACUCCCUGUCAUCCCUGCUAAUGGUGAGGAACUGAGCAAAAGAGCCUCCAGAGUGACAGAUGAGGAAACUCAGGCAUGGAGAGGUUGAGCGACUUGCCCAAAUUCAUGCAGUUAGGACCUGGCAGAGCUGCGCUUUGAACCCAGGCUGCCUGGCUCUAGAGUGUGUGCACGAAACUUCACUGCCAUAUGAACAAAACUGCAGGACAUAUGUUCUCAAAGCAAAUAAGCCUCCCAGAGAGGCUUUUCCUGAUGGCUUCAAGGACCUGCCCUAGCCUGGUCUGACUUCCCAGAGGGGAUCCAGUCCCAACAUUGGCCCUAUCUUUAGACCACAUUUCCAUCCCAUUCUCAGUGAAAACCCUGAGUCAUGACAGAAGACAACCAAUGCUGGAGAGAGGAGGUUUCAGGGGAUGCUGUCCUGAUCCAGGCUGGUGAGGCAAGGAGGGGCUGCGGCUUCCUGAGCUCUCCGAGCUGCUAAUGUGCGUGGGGAAUGCUAAGCAGCCUCCAGGCUCUGACCAGGUUUGUCUUCUAGGACCCACUUGCCCAAUGGGUGCCAGGACACCAGGUCUGGGUCUGGAGAAGAGAAUUCUUCUCCAAGGGAUGUUGAUGGUCCAUUCCGGAAAUGAAAGCUUCCCACGGUCUGCCCUGCACCAGGCUUUCAUCAGUGAGAAAUACCCCGAAUUUACACCCAAACCUAAAAGGAGAAGCGUAGAAGUGUUCUUGGCCCAAUUCUUUUAAUUGCAAGUCCUACUAGCAGGACAACUAAGGGAUUAUCCCUAAACUUUCAUUUAAAAGUCUGGGGAGGGAAGGAAGGAGUAAAAACUUUGGCAGUCAGAUUUUUCUCACUUUCACAUUUAUUCUUUACUAUUAAUGACUUGUUCAUCAUGCUGUACAACAAUUGUGCAAAGAUGCAUACGUUUGCCACUAUAAUUUGCCAUUAAAAUGUAAUAAUCAGUAAGUAUACACGGCGUGCCAGGUGCUAAACAGCAGAUGAGGGGCGAGGUGGGUGAAGGUUCCAUGCCGUGAGUUUGUGGCUAAUGGAACCCCUCAUGCUGCUGCUAUCCUUCCUGGGCCCAGCAGUUGGAUCCUGCAGGGGUGCCCCACUCUCUCGGGGACCUCAGAAAUGUCCUCUAUGGUUAGGGACGGCUAAGGAGGGUGUAUCUGCAGGAUUCCCAGGCACUGGGAGGUGUAUAGAGGUCACAGGACCCAUACAACCACCCCAGACCUUGUCAGAGUGCUCCAGUCUGGCAUCCGCAGAAGGCCAGGGAGGGUCAAGGGGCAGUGCUGAGCCACUGAACACAGCCACAGAGUUGGAGCUGCCAGGCAGAAGGUGCACGGCUCAGCAGAGGAGACCCCUUGAGGCAGCAAUGCUGGGGCCGGAGGGUCAAGGCUGAGGAGAAGGCCACCGCAAUGCCCUGUGUGGCCCUCAUGAGCUGAGGGACCAUGGGAAGGUGGCCUAGCCACUCUGAGCCUCAGUUUCCCCGGGAGAUAAAAACAGAGACAGUAUCUGCAAACUCAACAGGGCAUUAUGGUGAAGAAAUGAGAGGACUCAGGAACAUGUUAGCUGUCACAGCCUUAGCCACUGCCAACUCCAGCCAGGCAGCUGGUCAACAUUGCCGAGCACCAGCCAGGUGACAGGAGGACAGAGGGCUCGGGGGAAACCAAAUCCAUCCCCCCAAACAAAAGAAAAACACAAACAAAAAUAGGCACCAGAGCCGCCGGACGUGUACAAAGACUGUGUACGUUCUGCCUGUGGACAGAGCCCAGGAAGAGCACCCUGGCUCCUGUGCUCCACGCCUGCAGCUCAUCUGGAAGGUUCCCUGUCUAUGGCAGCCAGGUACCCAGGCCAGCCUGCAAAGGCCCAGUAACAGAACUUGUGUCUAAGAUAGAACUUCAUAGCUUUGUGCUGCCAAGCCCACCUGGAGCCCCCUUUAAGCCUUCUUUUGUUUGUUUGUUUGUUUGUUUUGAGACAGGAUCUCAUUCUGUUACUCAGGCUG